rnacentral:rRNA from 1 species
GGUUUGACGGUACCUAUAAAGGAAGCACCGGCUAACUCCGUGCCAGCAGCCGCGGUAAUACGGGGGGUGCAAGCGUUGUUCGGAAUUAUUGGGCGUAAAGCGCGUGUAGGCGGUCUGAUUAGUCUGAUGUGAAAGCCCUGGGCUCAACCCAGGAAGUGCAUUGGAUACUGUCAGACUUGAAUACGGGAGAGGGUAGUGGAAUUCCUAGUGUAGGAGUGAAAUCCGUAUAUAUUAGGAGGAACACCGGUGGCGAAGGCGGCUACCUGGACCGAUAUUGACGCUGAGACGCGAAAGCGUGGGUAGCAAACAGGAUUAGAUACCCUGGUAGUCCACGCCGUAAACGAUGAGAACUAGGUGUCGCGGGUA